GCCGAAGUGGUGAAAUUGGUAGACGCGCAGCCUUGAGGGGGCUGUGGCCGUAUGGCCGUGUCGGUUCGAGUCCGACCUUCGGCACCA
rnacentral:tRNA from 2 species